CCAUUUGGAUUUGUAGCAUGUGACAAGUAUUACAUUAUAGUAUGUGGCACGAUCCCGAUACAUUAACUUGCAUGACUCUUGGCAAUGGAUAUCUUGGCUCUUGCAUCGAUGAAGAACAUAGCAAAAUAUGAUACUUGGUGUGAAUUGCAAAGUCUUGUGAAUCAUCGAGUAUUUGAACGCAAGUUACGCUCAAUGCUGUCAGGCUAAGGGCAUUCAUGCUUGGGUAUCACGCUUAUCGACACUCUCUGCCUUUUGUAAUUUUUUGUCUUGCGAUUAGACAGUAGGCAUCGAUGUGGAGAUUGCCCCCCCAUACAUAAUUAGGUGGUGGGUCUGAUUGUUGGUUGUCCAUCGUGGUGGAUGUGGCGAGUGGUGGAUUGACACGCAUGCUAUCACGGAAGUAACUCAGCUUGGGUGACGCGCCGGAGUAACCCAUGCUAAUUGGUAACAUGUGAGUAUUACUUGGAACAUGACCCCAGGUCAGGUAGGGUCACCUGCUGAG
rnacentral:rRNA from 1 species